rnacentral:rRNA from 1 species
CACCGGCGGCUCGAGUGGUAACCGUUAUUAUUGGGUCUAAAGGGUCUGUAGCCGGCCGGAUAAGUCUCUUGAGGAAUCUGGCAGCUUAACUGUCAGGCUUUCAGGAGAUACUGUCUGGCUCGAGGCCGGGAGAGGUGAGAGGUACUUCAGGGGUAGGGGUGAAAUCUUGUAAUCCUUGAAGGACCACCAGUGGCGAAGGCGUCUCACCAGAACGGACCUGACGGCAAGGGACGAAAGCUAGGGGCACGAACCGGAUUAGAUACCCCCGUAGUCCCUGAGCGGG